rnacentral:rRNA from 1 species
UUGCAUCCACGCGUUUGGGAAGCUUCUCCCAUAAUGGGUCCGAACCUGGCAGGGCGGCCGCACUAGUGAUUAGAGUUUGAUUCCUGGCUCAGGAUGAACGCUGGCGGCGUGCCUAAUACAUGCAAGUCGAACGAGGCCCUUUUGUAUUCGUAUGAAGGUGUCCUAGUGGCGAACGGGUGAGUAACACGUAGGUGACCUGCCCCGAAGCGGGGGACAACUCCGGGAAACUGGAGCUAAUACCCCAUGUUCUCCAUGGUGUUAGAGGACCAUGGAGCAAAGGAGCAAUCCACUUUGGGAGGGGCCUGCGGCCCAUCAGCUAGUUGGUAGGGUAAUGGCCUACCAAGGCUAUGACGGGUAGGGGACCUGAGAGGGUGGUCCCCCACACUGGAACUGAAACACGGACCAGACACCUACGGGUGGCAGCAGUAGGGAAUAUUGCACAAUGGGCGAAAGCCUGAUGCAGCAACGCCGCGUGCGCGAUGAAGGCCUUCGGGUUGUAAAGCGCUUUUCUGGGGGAAGAGGAAGGACGGUACCCCAGGAAUAAGUCUCGGCUAACUACGUGCCAGCAGCCGCGGUAAAACGUAGGAGGCGAGCGUUAUCCGGAUUUACUGGGCGUAAAGCGCGUGUAGGCGGUUAGGUAAGUCGGACGUGAAAGCUCCCGGCUCAACUGGGAGAGGCCGUUCGAAACUACCUGACUUGAGGGCAGUAGAGGGAGGUGGAAUUCCGGGUGUAGCGGUGAAAUGCGUAGAUAUCCGGGGGAACACCAGUGGCGAAAGCGGCCUCCUGGGCUGACCCUGACGCUCAGACGCGAAAGCUAGGGUAGCAAACGGGAUUAGACACCCCGGUAGUCCUAGCUGUAAACGAUGCAGACUUGGUGUUGGCAGUUUAAACACUGUCAGUGCCGUAGCUAACGCGAUAAGUCUGCCGCCUGGGGACUACGACCGCAAGGUUAAAACUCAAAGGAAUUGACGGGGGCCCGCACAAGCAGCGGAGCGUGUGGUUUAAUUCGAGGCUACGCGAAGAACCUUACCUGGGUUUGACAUGUACGUAGUAGGAAUCCGAAAGGUGACCGACCCCUCGGGGAGCGUACACAGGUGCUGCAUGGCUGUCGUCAGCUCGUGCCGUGAGGUGUCCGGUUAAGUCCGGUAACGAGCGCAACCCUUGCUCUGUGUUAUAUGUGUCACAGAGGACUGCCGGUAUAAAGCCGGAGGAAGGUGGGGAUGACGUCAAGUCAGCAUGGCCUUUAUAUCCAGGGCUACACACACGCUACAAUGGCCGGUACAAUGGGUCGCGAAGCCGCGAGGCGGAGCCAAUCCUCCAAAGCCGGUCUCAGUUCGGAUUGCAGGCUGCAACCCGCCUGCAUGAAGUCGGAGUUGCUAGUAACCGCAGGACAGCUAUACUGCGGUGAAUACGUUCCCGGGCCUUGUACACACCGCCCGUCACGUCAUGGGAGCUGGCAACACCUGAAGUCGGUGACCUAACCGCAAAGGAAAGGAACCGCCCAAAGGUGGGGCUGGUGACUGGGACGGAAAGUCGUAAACGAAGGUAAACCUUAAAGA